AUUGAACGCUGGCGGCAGGCUUAACACAAGCAAGUCGAGCGGGGGAAGGUAGCUUGCUACUGGACCUAGCGGCGGACGGGUGAGUAAUGCUUAGGAAUCUGCCUAUUAGUGGGGGACAACAUCUCGAAAGGGAUGCUAAUACCGCAUACGUCCUACGGGAGAAAGCAGGGGAUCUUCGGACCUUGCGCUAAUAGAUGAGCCUAAGUCGGAUUAGCUAGUUGGUGGGGUAAAGGCCUACCAAGGCGACGAUCUGUAGCGGGUCUGAGAGGAUGAUCCGCCACACUGGGACUGAGACACGGCCCAGACUCCUACGGGAGGCAGCAGUGGGGAAUAUUGGACAAUGGGGGGGACCCUGAUCCAGCCAUGCCGCGUGUGUGAAGAAGGCCUUAUGGUUGUAAAGCACUUUAAGCGAGGAGGAGGCUACUCUAGUUAAUACCUAGGGAUAGUGGACGUUACUCGCAGAAUAAGCACCGGCUAACUCUGUGCCAGCAGCCACAGUAA
rnacentral:rRNA from 1 species